UACGUAGGGGGCAAGCGUUGUCCGGAAUUAUUGGGCGUAAAGGGCGCGUAGGCGGUGCGGUAAGUCUGGUGUGAAAUCUCCGGGCUCAACUCGGAGCUUGCAUCAGAAACUGCCGUGCUUGAGUGUGGGAGAGGUGAGUGGAAUUCCCGGUGUAGCGGUGAAAUGCGCAGAUAUCAGGAGGAACACCGAUGGCGAAGGCAGGUCUCUGGGCCAUAACUGACGCUGAGAAGCGAAAGCAUGGGGAGCGAACAGG
rnacentral:rRNA from 1 species